ensembl:lncRNA novel transcript
GUAGUUAGGUGCUCAAUAAACGGAGUUGCCGCUGAGGUCUGGGCUGGGGUCUUGUUCCUGGGAUCGGGAGGGGCUGGACGCCUGUGUGUUCUCUCCUGACGAUCGCUGGCGGCAGCCUCUGGGCUGGUCCUACCAGGGCUCAAAAUUCCCGGCACCACUGGCCUUGGGGAUCUGGGGGCGGCCCCUCUGCAGACAACAGAGUGACGGGGGCGGGACCGGGCUGGGGCUGGGGCCUUCCUGGAAUCCCGCAGGGCCUGGGGACCUGUUCACUUGGGGAGGCUGGGAGCCAGGCGGGGUCCGGGUUCCACGAAGGCCAGGUCCAGUCAGUUUCUCAGCCUCCCGGCAUGGUGCUCAAGGCCUUCUUCCCCACGUGCUGCGUCUCGACGGACAGCGGGCUGCUGGUGGGACGGUGGGUGCCGGAGCAGAGCAGCGCCGUGGUCCUGGCGGUCCUGCACUUUCCCUUCAUCCCCAUCCAGGUCAAGCAGCUCCUGGCCCAGGUGCGGCAGGCCAGCCAGGUGGGCGUGGCCGUGCUGGGCACCUGGUGCCACUGCCGGCAGGAGCCCGAGGAGAGCCUGGGCCGCUUCCUGGAGAGCCUGGGUGCUGUCUUCCCCCAUGAGCCCUGGCUGCGGCUGUGCCGGGAGAGAGGCGGCACGUUCUGGAGCUGCGAGGCCACCCACCGGCAAGCGCCCACUGCCCCCGGUGCCCCUGGUGAGGACCAGGUCAUGCUCAUCUUCUAUGACCAGCGCCAGGUGUUGCUGUCACAGCUACACCUGCCCACCGUCCUGCCCGACCGCCAGGCUGGAGCCACCACUGCCAGCACGGGGGGCCUGGCUGCCGUCUUCGACACGGUAGCACGCAGUGAGGUGCUCUUCCGCAGUGACCGCUUUGAUGAGGGCCCCGUGCGGCUGAGCCACUGGCAGUCGGAGGGCGUGGAGGCCAGCAUCCUCGCGGAGCUGGCCAGGCGAGCCUCGGGACCCAUUUGCCUGCUGUUGGCCAGCCUGCUGUCGCUGGUCUCAGCUGUCAGUGCCUGCCGAGUGUUCAAGCUCUGGCCCCUGUCCUUCCUCGGGAGCAAACUCUCCACGUGCGAACAGCUCCGGCACCGGCUGGAGCACCUCACGCUAAUCUUCAGUACACGGAAGGCGGAGAACCCUGCCCAGCUGAUGAGGAAGGCCAACACGGUGGCCUCUGUGCUGCUGGACGUGGCCCUGGGCCUCAUGCUGCUGUCCUGGCUCCACGGGAGAAGCCGCAUCGGGCAUCUGGCCGACGCCCUCGUUCCUGUGGCUGACGUG